rnacentral:lncRNA from 1 species
AACUUGUUUGUGGUGGAAAGACGAAAAGAAAAGCAAAGACCCAGUACCAGAAGGAACCAUUGUCUAAUGAGAGUUUUCAUCGACUCAGCACUAUCUAUAUGUCAGUCCUCCACAUGUGAAGUCCCAGUGAAUCUUCAACAAUCCUUAGAGGUUCUGGCUUCCUCUGUCCUGCCUGGGAGAGGAAGGUGGGCAGAAAGUAGACAAAGUUGGACAGGAGAGGGAGCUACCGUCACUCCUGGUCUCAUCUGCGUCUGAAGAAUGGUUACCCUGAGGGGUGGAUAUUGUUCUCCUCCUUAUAUUAUUCAUACUGUUUAUGAGACUGCAUAAAAUAAGUAAUAUUAUCUAAUAACUAACACAAGAUAGCUACCCAUUGCUGCUAAAGACUGUCUGCAGUGCUCCUCAUUCGUUGCAUCUGAUCCGUAGAACAACCCUGCAAAGUACAGAUGUUUUAGCAAUGUUUUACACAUGGCCUGUCGGGGCUCACCAGGGGGUCAACAGCCUGCUCAAGAGUGCCCAGCUAACCACCAGGACCUUGGUGCUCUUUCUACCAUGCCCGACUGCUCUGCCACCCAGUGGAGGUUUGAGCGAAAUCACCUGCAGGUCAGAUGGUUCAGGCAUGAUGACAGCCAGGUGCCCCAGUCAGGUGGCCGGGACCCACCAGACUUGGAGCCAAUCCAGGACACUGCUUUCCUGAGGAGGAGCCUGAGGCAUCUACUAGAGGCUCCUGGGUCCCUGGCCUUCCUUGGAGCAUCACCUACCAAGAGCUUCUCCAGGACCUGGCUCUGGGAGCUUCCAGGGUUGCUCAGAGGCAGCUGUUCCCCAGGGCAGGGUGCAGCCACCUCCUGCCCCAACUUUACCUCCACUCUCCAUGGUGAAUCUGGUGGUUAUGUGUCUGGUCUCACUAGCUGGCACCUGCAGAGUGGGUAG